rnacentral:ncRNA from 2 species
CCAUCCAAGGAGCGUUGCAGUCGGCCACAUGGCCGGUCAGGCUUGGGUACCGUACAACGACGCUCACCUGCU